rnacentral:tRNA from 1 species
GGGGGAUUUCCCGAGUGGCCAAAGGGGACAGACUGUAAAUCUGCUGGCAACGCCUUCGGUGGUUCGAAUCCACCACCCCCCACCA